CGCGUAGACGGCUAUAUAAGUCUGGAGUGAAAGUCCUGCUUUCAAGGUGGGAAUUGCUUUGGAGACUGUAUGGCUUGAGUGCGGAAGAGGUAAGUGGAAUUCCCAGUGUAGCGGUGAAAUGCGUAGAGAUUGGGAAGAACACCAGUGGCGAAGGCGACUUACUGGGCCGUAACUGACGUUGAUGCGCGAAAGCGUGGGGAGCGAACA
rnacentral:rRNA from 1 species